AUGGAGAACUGGACAUGGAUGAAUCUGGAGAACAUCAUCCUCAGCAAACUGACACAAGAACAGAAAACGAAACACCGCAUAUUCUCACUCAUAGGAGUGGAAGAGCAUGUGGCCUUCACCAGAUGCAGAUGCCAGCACCAUGCUUCUUGUACAGCCUGCAGAACCAUGAGCAAGUUUGUACCAGAGAAAGCUAGCAGCCAUGUCAUGAGGAUACUCAAGCAGCUCCUUGUGGUUCAUGUGACAAGGAAGCAGGGCCUCCUGCCAACAGCCAG